AUUGAACGCUGGCGGCAUGCCUUACACAUGCAAGUCGAACGGUAACAGGUCUUCGGAUGCUGACGAGUGGCGAACGGGUGAGUAAUACAUCGGAACGUGCCUAGUAGUGGGGGAUAACUACUCGAAAGAGUGGCUAAUACCGCAUGAGAUCUACGGAUGAAAGCAGGGGAUCGCAAGACCUUGUGCUACUAGAGCGGCCGAUGGCAGAUUAGGUAGUUGGUGGGAUAAAAGCUUGCCAAGCCGACGAUCUGUAGCUGGUCUGAGAGGACGAUCAGCCACACUGGGACUGAGACACGGCCCAGACUCCUACGGGAGGCAGCAGUGGGGAAUUUUGGACAAUGGGCGCAAGCCUGAUCCAGCAAUGCCGCGUGCAGGAUGAAGGCCUUCGGGUUGUAAACUGCUUUUGUACGGAACGAAAAGCCCUGGGUUAAUACCCUGGGGUCAUGACGGUACCGUAAGAAUAAGCACCGGCUAACUACGUGCCAGCCGCCGCUGUAAUAC
rnacentral:rRNA from 1 species